CAGUUCGGACUGGAGUCUGCAACCCGACUCCACGAAGCUGGAUUCGCUAGUAAUCGCGCAUCAGCCAUGGCGCGGUGAAUACGUUCCCGGGCCUUGUACACACCGCCCGUCGAGCCAUGGAAGCCGGGGUGCCUGAAGUGUGCAGCCGCAAGGAGCGCCCUAAGGUAAAACCGGUGACUGGGGCUAAGUCGUAACAAGGUACC
rnacentral:rRNA from 1 species